rnacentral:lncRNA from 1 species
AUGGAGGACGAGACCGCGAUUGGCGCGAUCCUAUCCAAUCUAAGCGAGGGGGGGCUCCGAGAGAACGACGCGAAGACGACGACCGCCGCGAGGGGGGGGGAGGCGAUGAUGGAUUUUGCGCUGGAUUUGGUCGGAUGCGACGGAGCGCGCCCCCACGCCAAGUGGGGUGGGGUUUCCGGGGGAGUAAUAAAAAAUGCGGCGGACGAGCGGCGCUCCGGCGGCCACGUCGCCCCCGGCGCCAUUUUCAGAGGGGGGGCGCUGCUGCGGGGCACCCCGACAGGUGUACCGUCCGCCCACCCGCCACCGCCGAUCGCCGGCAAGUGGGCGCGUGGGUUGGGCCUGCGCCUCCUGCAUGCUCUGCCUGUCGAGAAGGCUCGCGAAGACGCGAAGGGGGCGCGUGCGGGAAAUCGGGAGCCGUCGGAUGGGGAGGUGGAUGGGCGAGAUCUUCACUGGCGGCGACACCUGUCCAGGAGAGAGAGAGAGAGAGGGUCUUCUCUAAAGGUGUUGUUUCCAAAGCUUUUUGAAAUCGGCUGUCAUCAAAAUACUACUGUGAAGGAUUUGUAUGAUGAGGGGAUAUGGAGUUUGGAGUUUAGAAGAAAUCUGGACAGUGUUGGGGAGGCUGAGCUGGAAGUGUUAAGAAAUAUGAUACAAGAUUAUGUCCUAGAGGGGGACAGAGAUAUGUUGAUCUGGCCUCAUAACAGCAAAAAGACCCUCACAACUAGAUUAAUAUAUAGAGAGAUUACUUUUGGGGGUGUAAGGGAUAUUGAGACGGUGAAUAUUUGGAAGAGUGAAAUCCCUUUAAAAUUUAAAUGCUUUCUAUAUAUGGCAGACAUAGAAAAACUUCCUUGUACAGUCCAAUUGAUUGAAUAAAAGAAAAUGG